rnacentral:rRNA from 1 species
UACAGAGGGUGCAAGCGUUAAUCGGAAUCACUGGGCGUAAAGGGCGCGUAGGUGGCGAGUUAAGUUUCAUGUGAAAGCCCUGGGCUUAACCUGGGAAUGGCAUGGGAAACUGACUGGCUAGAGUCAAAGAGAGGGAAGUGGAAUUUCCGGUGUAGCGGUGAAAUGCGCAGAUAUCAGGAGGAACACCGGUGGCGAAGGCGGGUCUCUGGGCCGAUACUGACACUGAGGAGCGAAAGCCAGGGGAGCAAACGGG